ensembl:lncRNA
CCAGAGAUAAAGCAGGAUACUAAACAAGGAUAUAAGGCUCAAUUCACCAGGAAGACAGACCAAUCAUAAAUGUUUAUGACCUGAUAACAAAACUCAAAAUACAUGAUGCAAAAACUCCACUUUUAAAGAACUAGAUAAUUCCAUAAUCAUAGAUUUUAACAGUCCCCUUGAACUCACUGAACCACUAGACAAAAAAAACCUAAUAGACAUCAACAACCUUGAUCUAAUGGAUAAUUACAGAACAUUACGUAUAACGUCAGAAUACACGUUCUUUUGGAGUGCUUAUAUUAUAUUCACCAAAGUGGGCCAUAAAAAAUCUCAACCAAUUUAGGGCCAGCCCAAGCAGCCUAGUGGUUAUGCUCAGUGCACCCUGCUUCAGAGCCAGGAGAUUGGUUCCCAGGCAGGGACCUACACCACUGUGUCAGCCAUGCUGUGCUGGAUGGCCACAUACCAAAAAAUAGAGGAAGACUGGCACAGAUGUUAGGGCAAAUCUUCCUAAGCAAAAAAAGAAAAAAAACCACUGCACCAAUUUAAUAGAACUGAAAUCAUACAGAAUAAAUUCUUUGAUCACAAUGUAAUUAAAUAUGAAUAACGAUAACAUUAUCUAGGAAAGCUGCAAAUAUUUUCAAUUAAACAACACACUGAAAUGGUCCAUCAAAGGAAAAGAAUCACAAGAUAAAUUAUAGAAUACUUUGAACUAAACAAUAUACAAAAUGCAGCAUACAAAAAUUUGGGGAGGGAACUAAAACAAUUAGAGGGAAAUGUUUACCUUUAAGGGCUCAUAUUAAAAAAAAUAAACGUCUAAAACUAAUGGCCCAAGAUUCUGCAUGAAAAAAAUUUCAAAAAGUGUAAGUAAGCCGAAAGUAGAAAAAUUAAAGAUAAAAGUAAUUAACAAAAUAGUACUCAAGCAAAAUAGAGACCAUUAAAGCAGAAAGCUGUCUUUUUGAGUAAGAAAGUCUAAGAUGUAGCAACAGGGCUGCAGACGCUGUCUUUCCCAACCCCCAAAAAUUCAGCUGACUAGGGCUGCUCACCAUGACCCAGCCCCAAGACUUCCCGCGCAGGGAUGCCGGGGACACAAUGUUCAGUCAAGAUGCCGAGUUCGAGUUCGAUCCACGUGGAAGCUGCUUGGCUCUGUGCGGAUGCUGCAAAGGCCCCGAGGCAGCGCGGAGGUUUCUGCGCACAAGCCGCCGCCGGGGCGCAGCGGCAGCGAGCAGGGGCAACACUACCGAGGCCUGGAGGGCGGCCCCGGCCUGGACCUCCUUGAGCCUCUGGUCACGGGUGCGGGGAGGCCUGGCCGGGCUGUCUGGGAAGCUCAAAGGCAGGGCAGCGGCAGGCAGCUGCGGGGCCCACCGCCAAAGGCGCUUCUGCUUUUCCUGCUGCGUGACCUCCAAGAAGGGGAUGUGGGGGGAUUCGAGGUGGAAAGGCCGGAGCUGCAGCGGGGCGGGAGGGCAGAGAAGCUGUGCAGGCCUGGCAGCGACUCUGGAUGCAUGAGGCUCCUCGGGGGUCUCUGUGCAGAGGGUCUGGGUGGCCAGCUUGAACCGAAGUAGCUACUGGCAGUAUUUUCACAGUCCGACCAACUGAGCAUCAGCUUCUAGGGGUCUUGCUCCCGCAUGCAUGGUUCGCCGUUGUCUCCUGCAGAGGUUUUGUAGCCUGGUUUGUUCUGUGGCCCUGUUGAAACUACUGGGAGACUGGUUUUUAAGAUGAUGGGCUCUAGAAUCUUCCAGAAGCCAUUAUCCUCAUCCCAGCAGGAUUUGCGCCUAAUCUUCUCCAGGUUGCAGAAAUUAACAGUCCCGGUGAAUCAGUGGCUGCACCUGCUCCAGGAGCUGCUGGAAGAGCAUGAAGUUACAUUUUUGCCAACAAAUGGUGGCCAAGUAAUCGAUCUUCUCUAGCUGAUACUCUGACUGCAGAUCUUUGAUCUCCACAUCUCUCACUCUCUCAUGAAAAGGAAUUAAUCAAAAAACAUUCUCAUAGAGAAA